UAGAGUUUGAUCCUGGCUCAGAUUGAACGCUGGCGGCAUGCCUUACACAUGCAAGUCGGACGGCAGCGCGGGCUUCGGCCUGGCGGCGAGUGGCGAACGGGUGAGUAAUACAUCGGAACGUGUCCUGGAGUGGGGGAUAGCCCGGCGAAAGCCGGAUUAAUACCGCAUACGCUCUGCGGAGGAAAGCGGGGGACCUUCGGGCCUCGCGCUCAAGGGGCGGCCGAUGGCAGAUUAGCUAGUUGGUGGGGUAAAGGCCUACCAAGGCGACGAUCUGUAGCUGGUCUGAGAGGACGACCAGCCACACUGGGACUGAGACACGGCCCAGACUCCUACGGGAGGCAGCAGUGGGGAAUUUUGGACAAUGGGGGCAACCCUGAUCCAGCAAUGCCGCGUGUGUGAAGAAGGCCUUCGGGUUGUAAAGCACUUUUGUCCGGAAAGAAAGCGUCCUGGCUAAUACCUGGGGCGGAUGACGGUACCGGAAGAAUAAGCACCGGCUAACUACGUGCCAGCAGCCGCGGUAAUACGUAGGGUGCGAGCGUUAAUCGGAAUUACUGGGCGUAAAGCGUGCGCAGGCGGUUCGCUAAGACCGAUGUGAAAUCCCCGGGCUUAACCUGGGAACUGCAUUGGUGACUGGCGGGCUAGAGUAUGGCAGAGGGAGGUAGAAUUCCACGUGUAGCAGUGAAAUGCGUAGAGAUGUGGAGGAAUACCGAUGGCGAAGG
rnacentral:rRNA from 1 species